CCUACGGGGGGCAGCAGUGGGGAAUAUUGGACAAUGGGGGGAACCCUGAUCCAGCCAUGCCGCGUGUGUGAAGAAGGCCCUCGGGUUGUAAAGCACUUUCAGUGAGGAAGAACGCCUGGUGGUUAAUACCCAUCAGGAAAGACAUCACUCACAGAAGAAGCACCGGCUAACUCCGUGCCAGCAGCCGCGGUAAUACGGAGGGUGCGAGCGUUAAUCGGAAUUACUGGGCGUAAAGCGCGCGUAGGUGGCUUGAUAAGCCGGUUGUGAAAGCCCCGGGCUCAACCUGGGAACGGCAUCCGGAACUGUCAAGCUAGAGUGCAGGAGAGGAAGGUGGAAUUCCCGGUGUAGCGGUGAAAUGCGUAGAGAUCGGGAGGAAUACCAGUGGCGAAGGCGGCCUUCUGGACUGACACUGACACUGAGGUGCGAAAGCGUGGGUAGCAAACAGGAUUAGAUACCCCUGUAGUC
rnacentral:rRNA from 1 species